rnacentral:rRNA from 1 species
CAGCCCCUCGAGUGGUGGGGAUGAUUAUUUGGCCUAAAGCGUCCGUAGCCGGCCGAGCAAGUCUUCCGUUAAAUCCAGCGUCUCAAGCGUUGGACCGCGGGAGAUACUACACGGCUAGAGAGUGGGAGAGGUCAGCGGUAUUCUGGGGGUAGGGGCGAAAUCCUUUGAUCCCCGGAGGACCACCAGUGGCGAAGGCUGCUGACUAGAACACGUCUGACGGUCAGGGACGAAAGCUGGGGUAGCGAACCGGAUUAGAGACCCGUGUAGUCC